CCUCACUAUUAUAUAAAACAUGAGAAGUUUGAUGCUAGCAUUAUUUUUUUAAUUUAGAUUAGGAUUGCUAUGAAAUAUGAAUCAAGCAUCACAUUAAAUAGGCUACUAUUAAAUUUUUAUAAUUAUUGGAGCAAGAUAACUACAAUUUUAAUUUUAGUGUAAAAAGCAUAGGCAAGCAUUUCCAAAAAAAAGUGUACUAAAAUUUGUGAUAUUUUUUGUUUACUGCAUGGAUCUACAUAUGUAGAGAUGAACAAAAUUUGUUUUAUAAUUUUUAGAUUUUUCUAUGAAUUACUAUGUAUUUAUUAAUUUUUAGCCGAUUUAAAAAAUAAAAGAAAAGUAAAUUGGAGAUUUUACAUUGGGAGCCCUAGAAUUUUUUUUAUUUUUUUCUACCUUCCAUGGUAACGAUUCUGGGAUUUUGCAUUAAGAACCCUAAAAUGUUUUUUAUUUUGUUUUUUCCCUUCUAGAAACGUUGGACCGAGGAGGCGAUCAGUAACCGAACACGGACAGGAUUAGGGGCAGAAGAAAAUAUUUGGCAAACUGAAAUUUUCGCUCUUUAUAGAUAGGUAUAGAUAUAUUAUUAUUAUAUCAUUAUUGAUAUAGAUAAGAUAUAGAUAUAGAUAUACCGGUAGCUCUAUUGCUCGAGAAAGAUAUAGAUAGAUAGAUAGAUAGAUAGAUAGAUAUAGUCAUAUAGAUAAGUUUAGAGUUACAGGCCGAUGGUCAGAGCAAAGACAGGAGGCGCGGUGAUCGCAGACAAGACGGGCAAAACAUCCUCUAUCGGUUUUGUAGCGGAAGGCACAAGUGCCGCGGAGAUGUACUUGUGCUGUGGUGGGUGGUCGACGUAUUGAACUUGCUCGGCCAUCAAAUUUCUAACCAUUUUCAAAACAAACUCGCUAAUCUCUGCAAUAAGCCCAGCAUUCGAAUGAUCUGCCGUGCCCUUUCCAUGCCUCGGCCCUUAGCCCUUCCUACUCCAGUUUCAACUGCCGCCAUGGGGUGUAACCGCAGGUCUCACCUUGUAACGAACUAACUAACCGAUUCAUCAGUAGCUCAACAUCCUCCCUAUACAAAUAGUUGUGCCAGACUGCCGCCUCGCCAAUUUGGCCAGCCGCCAGCCUUUCAGUUUCAACUUUCAAACGAGCACAACACAAUCCAAAAAACAAAGUGAUAGAGCGAGCGAGGUAGCCAGAGCAAGAGAGAGCGAUCAAGAGCAGAAGACG
rnacentral:lncRNA from 1 species